rnacentral:rRNA from 1 species
GUGUCAGCAGCCGCGGUAAUACGGAGGGUGCAAGCGUUAUCCGGAUUCACUGGGUUUAAAGGGUGCGUAGGUGGGUUGGUAAGUCAGUGGUGAAAUCUCCGAGCUUAACUUGGAAACUGCCGUUGAUACUAUCAAUCUUGAAUAUCGCGUAGGUAAGCGGAAUAUGUCAUGUAGCGGUGAAAUGCUUAGAUAUGACAUAGAACACCAAUUGCGAAGGCAGCUUACUUCACGAUCAUUGACACUGAGGCACGAAAGCGUGGGGAGCAAACAGGAUUAGAAACCCUUGUAGUCC